rnacentral:rRNA from 1 species
AGGUCACUGCUAUCGGUGUUCGAUUAAGCCAUGCGAGUCGUGAGGGGUAAAGCCCUCGGCGGAGUGCUCAGUAACACGUGGACAACCUACCCAAGAGUCAGGGAUAACCCCGGGAAACUGGGGAUAAUACCUGAUAGGCCAUGACAUCUGGAAUCGAGUUGUGGUUUAAACGUAAGGCUCUUGGAUGGGUCUGCGGCGGAUUAGGUUGUUGCUGGUGUAACGUACCAGCAAGCCUGUAAUCCGUACGGGUUGUGGGAGCAAGAGCCCGGAGAUGGAUUCUGAGACACGAAUCCAGGCCCUACGGGGCGCAGCAGGCGCGAAAACUCUACAAUGCAGGCAACUGCGAUAGGGGAACAUCGAGUGGCAUCCACCAUGGAUGUCUGUCCAAUCGUCUAAAAAACGAUUGUCAGCAAGGGCCGGGCAAGACCCGUGCCAGCCGCCGCGGUAAUACCGGCGGCUCGAGUGGUGGCCGAUAUUAUUGAGUCUAAAGGGUCCGUAGCCGGCUUUGCAAGUCCUAUGGGAAAUCCAGCGGCUUAACCGUUGGGCUUUCAUGGGAUACUACAUUGCUUGGGACUGGGAGAGGUAGGAGGUACUCAGGGGUAGGGGUGAAAUCCUGUAAUCCUUUGGGGACCACCGGUGGCGAAGGCGUCCUACCAGAACAGGUCCGACGGUGAGGGACGAAAGCUAGGGGCACGAACCGGAUUAGAUACCCGGGUAGUCCUAGCCGUAAACGAUGCUCGCUAGGUGUCACGGCAGUCGUGAAUUGUCGUGGUGCCGUAGGGAAGCCGUGAAGCGAGCCACUUGGGAAGUACGACCGCAAGGUUGAAACUUAA